GCUACAUCACAUUGAAACACCAGUUCCCACAUUAUCACCAAAGUUAAGCAAUGUCGAACCUGGUCAGUACCUAGAUAGGUUACCACUUGGGAAUAUCAGGUGCUGUAA